rnacentral:ncRNA from 2 species
UCAGGCGACUCUGGAAAGCCGUUCGCGAGACGAACGCGCCCACGGUGCAAACCGCCCGUAACGGCGGUGAAGCUCUCAGGCCCCAUGACAGAGCGAGGGAG